ACCUCGGAUCAGUAAGUGUAGCUGCCAUCUC
rnacentral:rRNA from 1 species